rnacentral:rRNA from 1 species
UACGGAGGGUGCGAGCGUUGUCCGGAAUCAUUGGGCGUAAAGGGCGCGUAGGUGGCCCGGUCAGUUCGUGGUGAAAGCGCGGGGCUCAACCCUGCGUCGGCCAUGAAUACUGCCGCGGCUGGAGCACUGUAGAGGCAGGCGGAAUUCCGGGUGUAGCGGUGGAAUGCGUAGAGAUCCGGAGGAACACCAGUGGCGAAGGCGGUUGCCUGGAGCUUUGCUGACGCUGAGGCGCGAAAGCGUGGGGAGCGAUCCGG